UAACACGUGGGGAACCUGCCCCAUAGUCUGGGAUACCACUUGGAAACAGGUGCUAAUACCGGAUAAGAAAGCGGAUCGCAUGAUCAGCUUUUAAAAGGCGGCGUAAGCUGUCGCUAUGGGAUGGCCCCGCGGUGCAUUAGCUAGUUGGUAAGGUAAAGGCUUACCAAGGCGAUGAUGCAUAGCCGAGUUGAGAGACUGAUCGGCCACAUUGGGACUGAGACACGGCCCAAACUCCGUACGGGAGGCAGCAGUU
rnacentral:rRNA from 1 species